rfam:Oryza sativa Japonica Group DNA, chromosome 6, cultivar: Nipponbare, complete sequence.
AAAAAAGCAAACCCUAGAUUUCUGUGUCCAAUUUUGAUUGUUCGUCUUAUAUGAAAUUUUUUAUAAUUCAUAUUUUUAUUGUUGUUAGAUGAUAAAUCAUGAUUAAUAUUUUAUGCAUGACUUGUCUUUUUAAUUUUUUUCAUAAUUUUUUCAAAUAAGACGGACGGUCAAACGUUAGGCACGGAAACCAGAGUUUGUCUUUUUU